rnacentral:rRNA from 1 species
GACGAACGCUGGCGGCGGGCUUAACACAUGCAAGUCGAACGGAAAGGCCCUGCUUUUGUGUGGUGCUCGAGUGGCGAACGGGUGAGUAACACGUGAGUAACCUUCCCUUGACUUUGGGAUAACUGCAGGAAACUGGGGCUAAUACCGGAUAGGAGCUCCUGCUGCAUGGUGGGGGUUGGAAAGUUUCGGUGGUGGUGGAUGGACUCGCGGCUUAUCAGCUUGUUGGUGGGGUAGUGGCUUACCAAGGCUUUGACGGGUAGCCGGCCUGAGAGGGUGACCGGCCACAUUGGGACUGAGAUACGGCCCAGACUCCUACGGGAGGCAGCAGUGGGGAAUAUUGCACAAUGGGCGGAAGCCUGAUGCAGCAACGCUGCGUGCGGGAUGACGGCCUUCGGGUUGUAAACCGCUUUCGCCUGUGACGAAGCGUGAGUGACGGUAAUGGGUAAAGAAGCACCGGCUAACUACGUG